UACGGGGGGGGCAAGCGUUGUUCGGAAUUACUGGGCGUAAAGGGUGCGUAGGCGGCGCGGUAAGUCGGGUGUGAAAUCUUGGAGCUUAACUCCGAAACUGCAUUCGAUACUGCCGUGCUUGAGGACUGGAGAGGAGACUGGAAUUUACGGUGUAGCGGUGAAAUGCGUAGAUAUCGUAAGGAAGACCAGUGGCGAAGGCGGGUCUCUGGACAGUUCCUGACGCUGAUGUGCGAAAGCGUGGGGAGCAAACAGG
rnacentral:rRNA from 1 species